ACGAACGCUGGCGGCGUGCCUAAUACAUGCAAGUCGAACGCUUCUUUUUCCACCGGAGCUUGCUCCACCGGAAAAAGAGGAGUGGCGAACGGGUGAGUAACACGUGGGUAACCUGCCCAUCAGAAGGGGAUAACACUUGGAAACAGGUGCUAAUACCGUAUAACAAUCGAAACCGCAUGGUUUUGAUUUGAAAGGCGCUUUCGGGUGUCGCUGAUGGAUGGACCCGCGGUGCAUUAGCUAGUUGGUGAGGUAACGGCUCACCAAGGCGACGAUGCAUAGCCGACCUGAGAGGGUGAUCGGCCACAUUGGGACUGAGACACGGCCCAAACUCCUACGGGAGGCAGCAGUAGGGAAUCUUCGGCAAUGGACGAAAGUCUGACCGAGCAACGCCGCGUGAGUGAAGAAGGUUUUCGGAUCGUAAAACUCUGUUGUUAGAGAAGAACAAGGAUGAGAGUAACUGUUCAUCCCUUGACGGUAUCUAACCAGAAAGCCACGGCUAACUACGUGCCAGCAGCCGCGGUAAUACGUAGGUGGCAAGCGUUGUCCGGAUUUAUUGGGCGUAAAGCGAGCGCAGGCGGUUUCUUAAGUCUGAUGUGAAAGCCCCCGGCUCAACCGGGGAGGGUCAUUGGAAACUGGGAGACUUGAGUGCAGAAGAGGAGAGUGGAAUUCCAUGUGUAGCGGUGAAAUGCGUAGAUAUAUGGAGGAACACCAGUGGCGAAGGCGGCUCUCUGGUCUGUAACUGACGCUGAGGCUCGAAAGCGUGGGUAGCAAUCAUGCUUCGACACCCUGGUACUACACGCCGUAAACGAUGAGUUUGAAGUGUUGGAGGGUUUCCGCCCUUCAGUGCUGCAGCUAACGCAUUAAGCACUCCGCCUGGGGAGUACGACCGCAAGGUUGAAACUCAAAGGAAUUGACGGGGGCCCGCACAAGCGGUGGAGCAUGUGGUUUAAUUCGAAGCAACGCGAAGAACCUUACCAGGUCUUGACAUCCUUUGACCACUCUAGAGAUAGAGCUUCCCCUUCGGGGGCAAAGUGACAGGUGGUGCAUGGUUGUCGUCAGCUCGUGUCGUGAGAUGUUGGGUUAAGUCCCGCAACGAGCGCAACCCUUAUUGUUAGUUGCCAUCAUUUAGUUGGGCACUCUAGCAAGACUGCCGGUGACAAACCGGAGGAAGGUGGGGAUGACGUCAAAUCAUCAUGCCCCUUAUGACCUGGGCUACACACGUGCUACAAUGGGAAGUACAACGAGUCGCAAAGUCGCGAGGCUAAGCUAAUCUCUUAAAGCUUCUCUCAGUUCGGAUUGUAGGCUGCAACUCGCCUACAUGAAGCCGGAAUCGCUAGUAAUCGCGGAUCAGCACGCCGCGGUGAAUACGUUCCCGGGCCUUGUACACACCGCCCGUCACACCACGAGAGUUUGUAACACCCGAAGUCGGUGAGGUAACCUUUUGGAGCCAGCCGCCUAAGGUGGGAUAGAUGAUUGGGGUG
rnacentral:rRNA from 1 species